rnacentral:rRNA from 1 species
AAACCAGGCCGCUGCAACUGUUUAUUAAAAACAUAGCACUCUGCAAACACGAAAGUGGACGUAUAGGGUGUGAUGCCUGCCCGGUGCUGGAAGGUUAAUUGAUGGGGUUAGCGUAAGCGAAGCUCUUGAUCGAAGCCCCAGUAAACGGCGGCCGUAACUAUAACGGUCCUAAGGUAGCGAAAUUCCUUGUCGGGUAAGUUCCGACCUGCACGAAUGGCAUAAUGAUGGCGGCGCUGUCUCCAGCAGAGGCUCAGUGAAAUCGAAAUCGCUGUGAAGAUGCAGUGUACCCGCGGCUAGACGGAAAGACCCCGUGAACCUUUACUGCAGCUUGACACUGAACUUUGACCUUACUUGUGUAGGAUAGGUGGGAGGCUUUGAAGCUGGAACGCUAGUUCCAGUGGAGCCGUCCUUGAAAUACCACCCUGGUAAUGUUGAGGUUCUAACUCUGUCCCGUGAUCCGGGACGAGGACCGUGUCUGGUGGGUAGUUUGACUGGGGCGGUCUCCUCCUAAAGAGUAACGGAGGAGUACGAAGGUGCGCUCAGCGUGGUCGGAAAUCACGCGUAGAGUAUAAAGGCAAAAGCGCGCUUAACUGCGAGACCCACAAGUCGAGCAGGUACGAAAGUAGGUCUUAGUGAUCCGGUGGUUCUGUAUGGAAGGGCCAUCGCUCAACGGAUAAAAGGUACUCUGGGGAUAACAGGCUGAUACCGCCCAAGAGUUCAUAUCGACGGCGGUGUUUGGCACCUCGAUGUCGGCUCAUCUCAUCCUGGGGCUGAAGCAGGUCCCAAGGGUAUGGCUGUUCGCCAUUUAAAGAGGUACGCGAGCUGGGUUUAGAACGUCGUGAGACAGUUCGGUCCCUAUCUACCGUGGGCGCUGGAAAUUUGAGAGGAUCUGCUCCUAGUACGAGAGGACCAGAGUGGACGAACCUCUGGUGUACCGGUUGUGACGCCAGUCGCAUCGCCGGGUAGCUAUGUUCGGAAGGGAUAACCGCUGAAAGCAUCUAAGCGGGAAGCCUACCUCAAGAUAAGAUUUCCCUAGGACUUUAUGUCCUCUAAAGAGCCGUUCGAGACUAGGACGUUGAUAGGUUGGAUGUGGAAGCAUAGUGAUAUGUGAAGCUGACCAAUACUAAUUGCUCGUGAGGCUUGACUAU